GAUGAACGCUGGCGGCGUGCCUAACACAUGCAAGUCGAACGGAAAGGCCUGCUUUUCUUUGUGGAUUGCGGGUACUCGAGUGACGAACGGGUGAGUAACUCGCGAGUGAUCUGCCCCCAGCUUGGGUAUAAGCCUGGGAAACUGGGUCUAAUUCCCGAUAGGACUGCAGGGUGGUGCCUGCGGUGGUAAACGAUAUUUUAGUGGUUGGGGAUGAGCGCUUGUCGUGACAGAUUGUUGGUGGGGUAAUGGCCUACCACGGCGGCGACGGGUAACCCGCGUGUGAGGAUGAACGGCGACAUUGAAACUGGGAUAAGACCCAUACGAGUGCGGGAAGCAGCAGUGAAGAAUAAAGCACAGUGAGCGGAAGCAUGAUGCAGCGAGGCUGAGUGGAGGAUCACGGCAUUCGGGUUGUAAACUCCUUUCGACCGCGAGGAAGCAACCUGGAUGGAAGGGUGGUGACGGUAGUGAUAGAAGAAGCACCGGCUAACUACGUG
rnacentral:rRNA from 1 species